rnacentral:rRNA from 1 species
AGUGAACGCUGGCGGUAGGCCUAACACAUGCAAGUCGAACGGCAGCACAGUAAGAGCUUGCUCUUACUGGUGGCGAGUGGCGGACGGGUGAGGAAUACAUCGGAAUCUACUUUUUCGUGGGGGAUAACGUAGGGAAACUUACGCUAAUACCGCAUACUACCUACGGGUGAAAGCAGGGGAUCUUCGGACCUUGCGCGUUUGAAUGAGCCGAUGUCGGAUUAGCUAGUUGGCGGGGUAAAGGCCCACCAAGGCGACGAUCCGUAGCUGGUCUGAGAGGAUGAUCAGCCACACUGGAACUGAGACACGGUCCAGACUCCUACGGGAGGCAGCAGUAGGGAAUAUUGGACAAUGGGCGCAAGCCUGAUCCAGCCAUACCGCGUGAGUGAAGAAGGCCUUCGGGUUGUAAAGCCCUUUUGUUGGGAAAGAAAAGCAGCAGGUUAAUACCCCGCUGUUCUGACGGUACCCAAAGAAUAAGCACCGGCUAACUUCGUG